GACGAACGCUGGCGGCGCGCCUAAUACAUGCAAGUCGAACGCAAAACUUUCACCGAAUGCUUGCAUUCACGAAAGUUUUGAGUGGCGAACGGGUGAGUAACACGUGGGUAACCUGCCCAGAAGAGGGGGAUAACACUUGGAAACAGGUGCUAAUACCGCAUAAUAACAAAAACCGCAUGGUUUUUGUUUGAAAGAUGGUUUUGCUGUCACUUCUGGAUGGACCCGCGGCGUAUUAGCUAGUUGGUAAGGUAAAGGCUUACCAAGGCAAUGAUACGUAGCCGAACUGAGAGGUUGAUCGGCCACAUUGGGACUGAGACACGGCCCAAACUCCUACGGGAGGCAGCAGUAGGGAAUCUUCCACAAUGGACGAAAGUCUGAUGGAGCAACGCCGCGUGAGUGAAGAAGGUUUUCGGAUCGUAAAACUCUGUUGUUAGAGAAGAACGUGUGUGAGAGUAACUGCUCAUGCAGUGACGGUAUCUAACCAGAAAGCCACGGCUAACUACGUGCCAGCCGCCGCGGUAA
rnacentral:rRNA from 1 species